rnacentral:lncRNA from 1 species
CAAACAGUAAGAAGAUUCCCCUCUCUUUCUCAGUGGAUGUAAAGCAGUGAUUCUGCAUAAAUGUAUCAACACUAUAGCUCAACUCCUUCUGGAGUGGACUUCCCCUAGACCUGGAGAGCGAGUCCUGCCUAGCAUACACGGCCUGAAGUUCGAGAUCUCUUCCAAUUCAGGUCAACAAGAAAACUCAAUUCCUCUUCAGGAAGUUAAGUGACUUAAAGAUUACAUAAGAGCUAAGAAGACAAGCCAGCUAAGCAUGUUCAAGACCGGGCUUUUUGAAACUGCACUAAUUGAUCAUAACGAGACGGGGUUUCACCAUGUUGCCCAGGCUGGUCUAGAAGUCCUGGGCUGAAGCGAUCCGACCGCCUCCCAAAGUGCUGGGAUUACAGGAGUGAGCCAUCUCGCCCAGCCGAAAAAGUGUUUUUUGAUCUUAAAAUCUUACGUGGAAUGAAAGUGAACAAUGAGGCAAUGAAAGUGGAAGUUUCUCUUAAGCAAACACAGAAGUCAACCAUUCCAGCUUUCUAAGGUGGCAGUAUUGCUUUGAAACAAACGACAGCAACGACACCGUACUGUCCCAUUUUAAGAAACUUCUAGAUCCAUUGCAUUUCUAAAAUCUUACACUUUUAUUAGACUUCGCCUUUUUAAUUUAAU